GAUGAAGAACGUAGCGAAAUGCGAUACGUAAUGUGAAUUGCAGAAUUCAGUGAAUCAUCGAAUCUUUGAACGCACAUUGCGCCUGCCAGCACUCUGGCAGGCAUGCCUGUUCGAGCGUCAUUUCAACCAUCAAGCCCUAGGCUUGCGUUGGAGCCCUGCGGCUGCCGCAGGCCCCUAAAAGCAGUGGCGGGCUCGCUAUCACACCGAGUGCAGUAGAUUACUCUUCGCUCAGGGCGUGUGGCGGGUUCCAGCCGUGAAACCCCCUACUUCUCAAGGUUGACUUCGGAUCAGGUAGGAAUACCCGCUGAACUUAAGCAUAUCAAUAAGCGGAGGA
rnacentral:misc_RNA from 1 species